AUGAACAGAUUCCACUUCACCUUCUUCCUAUGAAUCAUGCUAAACCACAGCUGUGUCACUGAGUUCAUUCUCCUGGGGCUUUCGCAGAACUCAAAAGUUGAGAAAAUGUUGUUUAUUGUAUUUUUGUUGAUCUAUCUUGCAACUAUUGGGGGAAACAUGAUAAUUGUGAUGACCAUCAUCUACAGCCCUGCAUUACUAGGCUCCCCCAUGUACUUCUUCUUGAUAUUCCUUUCCUUCUUGGAUGCAUGCACUUCUUCUACUGUCACCCCCAAGAUGAUUAUAGACUUCUUUUAUGAGAAGAAGACCAUUUCUUUUGAAUGUUGCAUGACACAACUGUUUGCUGUCCACUUCUUCACUGGGAUGGAGGUGAUUGUCCUGUCUGCCAUGGCCUAUGACCGCUAUGUGGCCAUUUGCAAGCCACUUCACUACUCCUCCAUCAUGACCAGGAGGCUCUGUGGCAUUUUGGUGAUACUGUCCUGGGCAGGAGGCUUCUUACAUUCUAUCAUACAAAUUAUCUUCACUUUGCAGCUGCCCUUUUGUGGACCAAAUAUCAUUGAUCAUUACAUGUGUGACUUGUUCCCAUUACUGAAGCUUGCCUGCACUGAUACACACAUAUUUGUCAUUUUGGUGUUUGCCAACAGUGGAUCUAUCUGCAUCAUAAUUUUCUCUAUUUUGCUUGUCUCCUAUGGUGUCAUCUUGUUCUCUCUGAGAGCCCACAACUCUGAAGGGAGACGUAAAGCUCUCUCCACCUGUGGAUCCCACAUUACAGUUGUGCUUUUGUUUUUUGUGUCAUGCAUAUUAAUAUAUGCUCGACCUACUGCCUUCUCUUCUGAAAAAAAUGCUCUUGUAUUUGCCACGAUCAUAACACCACUUCUGAAUCCUAUGGUGUACACUUUCAGGAAUAAGGAAAUGAAGAAUGCUAUCAGGAAAAUGUGGAAGCGAUUGAUAGUGGUUUCUGGUGACUAUUAA